CAGUCGCCGCGGUAAUACGUAGGUGGCAAGCGUUGUCCGGAAUUAUUGGGCGUAAAGGGCUCGCAGGCGGUUUCUUAAGUCUGAUGUGAAAGUCCCCGGCUCAACCGGGGAGGGUCAUUGGAAACUGGGAAACUUGAGUGCAGAAGAGGAGAGUGGAAUUCCACGUGUAGCGGUGAAAUGCGUAGAGAUGUGGAGGAACACCAGUGGCGAAGGCGACUCUCUGGUCUGUAACUGACGCUGAGGAGCGAAAGCGUGGGGAGCGAACAGGAUUAGAUACCCCGGUAGUCCCUGUCUCUUAUAC
rnacentral:rRNA from 1 species